GGAUCCCUAAAAGGUCACAGGGAUUUCUUCAUCCAAUUGAUUCUCCAGAUAUGGAAGGAGUGUCUACUAUGUGUCAGAAAGUGUCUAGGGCUGAGGAGACGGCAGCAACCACACCAGACAAACCGUGUGGAGUUUCCCAUCUGGUGGAGGCAGAGAGGCUGGUGAUGAGAAGACUGGGUUCCUAAUCCCGCCAGGACCGUCACGAACUCCAGACUCUAGGCAAGGCUACCACAACCUCUCAGGGUCUCUUGUCCAGUGCACCAUGAUGGAGAGCGGAGUGAUGAGGCUGAGCCUGGCCCUAAGGUUCCAGUGGACUCUCCUAACCACAGUCUACACCAGAUGGCAUCCUGUGAUCUCUGCUGGGACCUCAUGUCCUAGCCAAGUCCAAGGCUUCACCUCGUCCUUCUCCAGCCCAGGCCUCUUCAGCCAAUCUGCCAACCCCAUUGACCUUGACUUUGAGCUCCCCUAAGGCCCAGAGGCAUCUGCAACCUGGCGGGCUUGUCCCUGGAGCACAUGAGGACUUUUCCCACCACCACCCCUUCUUGUCCCCAGCAAUGUCCCAGGAUGACUUCAAUGAGCACUUACUAAGUGCUUGCCAAGAGAUCUACGUGACUGAGACAUGAGUUGCUGUGGAUUGGAUUCUCUAAAGGACCCGGACUCACACAAUGACCCAUCAUGCAGAUGAGGGACCUGGAACACCAAGAGUAAGCAAGUCUGCGAGGAAGACGCAGCACACUCCAGAUUCCAGCCCACUUCCCUGGGACCUCAGCACGCUCCUUCCAUGGGGCUCUCCAACCCCCAGCCCAUCUUCCCGUCUGUAGAAGGAGGUUCCCCACAAGGGUCUCCUAGAGUUGAUGUGAGAUUCCAGUAAGGAUCUACAAAGUCCUCAGGGCAGCACCCCCUGGGCUCUGUGAAUGCCCGUUGGUGUUUGUAAUAGGGUUGGAAUCCACACUCAGCCCUGCUGAGAAAUUCUGCUCACUGCUUUGAGCAGGAGGGGUGGAAAUAAGCUGGGAAGAAAGGGGUAUCCUUGGAAAUCUUUAGCUCCUCUUUUGAAGAGGGCGGCCGCUCCCCAGUUCCCCAGGCCCCAGCCCUCAUUGCUCUCACCAGGCAUGAGAAUCAGGGCCACACACACAAGCUGGGAGAAUUUGCUCAACUGUUGAAAGUCAGCCGGUGUGGCCUGCUAUUAAACUCCCGUGGGCGAGCCGGGUGAACGGUGGGAGCUCAUGUGAUCAGUCAUUAAUCUCCACGUGUAAUGCAAGAGCCGUACCACUUCCUUCAGCCCUAAUCUCCCAUGAGUUAGGGCCUCUUCUGUGAUUCAUAAAACAAAUCAAUCACA